rnacentral:sRNA from 1 species
GCUGGGCGAGGUAGCGCAUGCCUGUAGUUGCAGUUGCUCAGGAGGCUGAGGCAGGAGGAUUGCAAGUUCAAAGGGCUUACCUCAGCAACUUAGUGAGACCCUUAGCAACUUAGUGAGACUCUGUUUCAA